rnacentral:RNase_P_RNA from 2 species
UCAGUUACAAUCUAGCAUCUGGGGCUUACACACGAGUAUUUGAUUACUCUCUCUCUCAAAACACAAAUGCCUCGGGAAGGUCUGAGAUUUGGUCAAAAGUUCAAAAAAUUGAUGAACUUUAAUUUUCUAGCAGGAAACUUGUACGAUAGAAAGGCAAAAGGACAAGAAAUUCUGUAUUAUCAAUUCAAUCUCUUUGAUAUUGAAUGAAAAUACAUUGAAAUCUUUUGUGACCAGCUGUUUCAGUGCAAUGUGCUUGCUGUCCGUCUUCCCCAUUUUUUGAUGGGGAAUUGGACAGAACUCAAUUCAGACUAAUCUGUGACUGA